GAUGAACGCUGGCGGCGUGCCUAAUACAUGCAAGUCGAGCGAACAGACGAGGAGCUUGCUCCUCUGACGUUAGCGGCGGACGGGUGAGUAACACGUGGAUAACCUACCUAUAAGACUGGGAUAACUUCGGGAAACCGGAGCUAAUACCGGAUAAUAUAUUGAACCGCAUGGUUCAAUAGUGAAAGACGGUUUUGCUGUCACUUAUAGAUGGAUCCGCGCCGCAUUAGCUAGUUGGUAAGGUAACGGCUUACCAAGGCAACGAUGCGUAGCCGACCUGAGAGGGUGAUCGGCCACACUGGAAAUGAGACACGGUCCAGACUCCUACGGGAGGCAGCAGUAGGGAAUCUUCCGCAAUGGGCGAAAGCUUGACGGAGCAACGCCGCGUGAGUGAUGAAGGUAUUCGGAUAGUAAAACUCUGUUAUUAGGGAAGAACAAAUGUGUAAGUAACUAUGCACGUCUUGACGGUACCUAAUCAGAAAGCCACGGCUAACUACGUG
rnacentral:rRNA from 1 species